rnacentral:rRNA from 1 species
UACGUAGGGUCCGAGCGUUGUCCGGAAUUACUGGGCGUAAAGAGCUCGUAGGUGGUUUGUCGCGUUGUUCGUGAAAACUCACAGCUUAACUGUGGGCGUGCGGGCGAUACGGGCAGACUAGAGUACUGCAGGGGAGACUGGAAUUCCUGGUGUAGCGGUGGAAUGCGCAGAUAUCAGGAGGAACACCGGUGGCGAAGGCGGGUCUCUGGGCCAUUACUGACGCUGAGGAGCGAAAGCGUGGGGAGCGAACAGG